rnacentral:rRNA from 1 species
CUCGUAGGCGGUUCGUCGCGUCCGGUGUGAAAGUCCAUCGCUUAACGGUGGAUCCGCGCCGGGUACGGGCGGGCUUGAGUGCGGUAGGGGAGACUGGAAUUCCCGGUGUAACGGUGGAAUGUGUAGAUAUCGGGAAGAACACCGAUGGCGAAGGCAGCCCCCCUGGGAUAACACUGACGUUCAUGCUCGAAAGCGUGGGUAGCAAACA